UUCACAAUUUCCAUCACACCCUUGUGCACAUCCUGUAGGCACCCACUCACCUAUCUUGGUUGGGGUGUCCUAUGUAAUCCUUCAUCUCACACUUUAUUGAAUGGUGCUAUUUGAACGCAUCUUAUGGAUUAUUUGUAAAAAAGUAAUCACAGAAACAACUUUCAACAAUGGAUCUCUUGGCUCUCGCAUCGAUGAAGAACGCAGCGAAAUGCGAUACGUAAUGUGAAUUGCAGAAUUCCGUGAAUCAUCGAAUCUUUGAACGCACCUUGCGCCUCUUGGUAUUCCGAGGGGCAUGCCUGUUUGAGUGUCAUUGAAUCCUCAAAAGAGAAGCUUAACUGUUUCCCUUUUGGAAUUGGAGUGUGCUGGCCUUUUGUUAGGAAGCCCAGCUCCUCUGAAAUACAUCAGCGAUGUGACAUCCGCAUGGCACCACGCUUCUCUGGCAUUGAUAGUCUUUUCAUGCCUGAGCGUGUUGUGCAGCUGUGGAAAGCUUUGCUCGCUCAUAACCGAUGGUGCGCCCAUCCUUUGACCAAUUUAACCUCAAAUCAGGUAGGAUUACCCGCUGAACUUAAGCAUAUCAAUAAG
rnacentral:rRNA from 1 species